rnacentral:rRNA from 1 species
GUCGAGCGCGGGAAGCAAACGGAAUCCUUCGGGAGGAAGUUUGUGGAACGAGCGGCGGACGGGUGAGUAACACGUGGGCAACCUACCUGUAAGAUUGGGAUAACUCCGGGAAACCGGGGCUAAUACCGAAUGACACUUUUCAACUCCUGUUGAGAAGUUAAAAGGCGGCUUUAAGCUGUCACUUACAGAUGGGCCCGCGGCGCAUUAGCUAGUUGGUAGGGUAACGGCCUACCAAGGCGACGAUGCGUAGCCGACCUGAGAGGGUGAUCGGCCACACUGGGACUGAGACACGGCCCAGACUCCUACGGGAGGCAGCAGUAGGGAAUCUUCCGCAAUGGACGAAAGUCUGACGGAGCAACGCCGCGUGAGUGAUGAAGGUUUUCGGAUCGUAAAACUCUGUUGUUAGGGAAGAACAAGUACCGUUCAAAUAGGGCGGUACCUUGACGGUACCUAACCAGAAAGCCCCGGCUAACUACGUGCCAGCAGCCGCGGUAAUACGUAGGGGGCAAGCGUUGUCCGGAAUUAUUGGGCGUAAAGCGCGCGCAGGCGGUCCUUUAAGUCUGAUGUGAAAGCCCACGGCUCAACCGUGGAGGGUCAUUGGAAACUGGAGGACUUGAGUACAGAAGAGAAGAGUGGAAUUCCACGUGUAGCGGUGAAAUGCGUAGAGAUGUGGAGGAACACCAGUGGCGAAGGCGACUCUUUGGUCUGUAACUGACGC